rnacentral:rRNA from 1 species
AUUGAACGCUGGCGGCAGGCUUAACACAUGCAAGUCGAGCGAGCGGCGGACGGGUGAGUAAUGUCUGGGAAACUGCCUGAUGGAGGGGGAUAACUACUGGAAAAGGUAGCUCAUACCGCAUACCAUCAGAUGUGCCCAGAUGGGAUUAGCUAGUAGGUGGGGUAAAGGCUCACCUAGGCGACGAUCCCUAGCUGGUCUGAGAGGAUGACCAGCCCCACUGGAACUGAGACACGGUCCAGACUCCUACGGGAGGACGCAGUGGGGAAUAUUGCACAAGUGGCGCAAGCCUGAUGCAGCCAUGCCGCUUGUAUGAAGAAGGCCUUCGGGUUGUAAAGCACUUUCAGCGAGGAGGCGUUACUCGCAGAAGAAGCACCGGCUAACUCCGUGCCAGCAGCCGCGGUAAUUC